GCCUGGGUGGCUCAGUCGGUUAAGUGUCCGACUUCGGCUCAGGUCAUGAUCUCACCACAGUCUGUGGGUUCGAGCCCCGCAUCAGGCU
rnacentral:tRNA from 1 species